GUGGGGAAUCUUGCGCAAUGGGCGAAAGCCUGACGCAGCCAUGCCGCGUGAAUGAUGAAGGUCUUAGGAUUGUAAAAUUCUUUCACCGGGGACGAUAAUGACGGUACCCGGAGAAGAAGCCCCGGCUAACUUCGUGCCAGCAGCCGCGGUAAUACGAAGGGGGAUAGCGUUGCUCGGAAUUACUGGGCGUAAAGGGCGCGUAGGCGGACAGUUUAGUCAGAGGUGAAAGCCCAGGGCUCAACCUUGGAAUUGCCUUUGAUACUGGCUGUCUUGAGUACGGGAGAGGUGAGUGGAACUCCGAGUGUAGAGGUGAAAUUCGUAGAUAUUCGGAAGAACACCAGUGGCGAAGGCGACUCACUGGCCCGUUACUGACGCUGAGGCGCGAAAGCGUGGGGAGCAAACAGGAUUAGAAACCCUGGUAGUCC
rnacentral:rRNA from 1 species